UACGAAGGGGGCUAGCGUUGCUCGGAAUCACUGGGCGUAAAGCGCACGUAGGCGGAUUCCUAAGUCGGUGGUGAAAUCCUGGAGCUCAACUCCAGAACUGCCUCCGAUACUGAGAGUCUCCGAGUCCGGGAGAGGUGAGUGGAACUGCGAGUGUAGAGGUGAAAUUCGUAGAUAUUCGCAAGAACACCAGUGGCGAAGGCGGCUCACUGGCCCGGUACUGACGCUGAGGUGCGAAAGCGUGGGGAGCAAACGGG
rnacentral:rRNA from 1 species